UACGUAGGGGGCAAGCGUUGUCCGGAUUUAUUGGGCGUAAAGAGCGUGUAGGCGGUUUGGUAGGUCCGCUGUGAAAACUCGAGGCUCAACCUCGAGACGCCGGUGGAAACCAUCAGGCUAGAGUCCGGAAGAGGAGAGUGGAAUUCCUGGUGUAGCGGUGAAAUGCGCAGAUAUCAGGAAGAACACCCGUGGCUAAGGCGGCUCUCUAGUACGGUACUGACGCUGAGACGCGAAAAGCGUGGGGGAGCGAACAGG
rnacentral:rRNA from 1 species